rnacentral:rRNA from 1 species
AUUGAACGCUGGCGGCAUGCUUUACACAUGCAAGUCGAACGGUAACAGGCCGCUAGGUGCUGACGAGUGGCGAACGGGUGAGUAAUGCAUCGGAACGUGCCCAGUCGUGGGGGAUAACUACUCGAAAGAGUAGCUAAUACCGCAUACGAUCUAUGGAUGAAAACGGGGGACCGUAAGGCCUCGCGCGAUUGGAGCGGCCGAUGGCGGAUUAGGUAGUUGGUGGGGUAAAGGCUCACCAAGCCAACGAUCUGUAGCUGGUCUGAGAGGACGACCAGCCACACUGGGACUGAGACACGGCCCAGACUCCUACGGGAGGCAGCAGUGGGGAAUUUUGGACAAUGGGCGCAAGCCUGAUCCAGCAAUGCCGCGUGCAGGAAGAAGGCCUUCGGGUUGUAAACUGCUUUUGUACGGAACGAAACGGCUCUGGUUAAUACCCGGGGCUAAUGACGGUACCGUAAGAAUAAGCACCGGCUAACUACGUG